GGAGGGGCCAUGCUUCAGUGGUACAAUGUCUGCUUUGCAGGCAGAAGGUCCCAGGUUCAAUCCUUAGCAUCUCCA
rnacentral:tRNA from 1 species